GAGGAAGGACUUUGUUGUAGUUGUGUGCUUCACCAAGAGUUGAGCUGAUAGAGCUACCCUCGUACGGACUUUCAUGUUCCUGGGGUUUGUGACGUUGGCACCUGGACACGAACUUGCACCAGCUAACAGUGCUGAAGAUAAACUUUACAUGGCCUACAUGAUUGAAUAAAGCUGAUUCUCUAGACUAACUUGCCACAAUAUUUUUUGUUUGUUUGUUUUUUUUUUGUUCCUACAUCCCCCAUCUGAUAAUGUUAAAGAUUUAUGGUCAGCAGUCUGGGUGUGUGGUCUGUGAAAGGAGUUUAGAUAACAUUGGCUUCUACUGGUGACAAGACUGUUAAAUAUACCCACAAAAUUCAGUAUAGAUUAUUUUAGAAGUUAGGGACCAAACUGUCACAAGUAAGCAUGAUUAAUAAAAUUAUCAGAUCAUUGAAUUGUGUAAUAGUGAAGCCAUGUUGAUGUACAACUCUGUGACUUUGUUGGACACGUUUAUCAAUAAGAGAACAAAAGGCAUGAUCUUUCUUUUUUUGUGUUAUGUCACGAUGUAUGAAGUGGCAAGCUGUGACUGUACUUUGUAGUUGACAUUUUACUAUUAUUUCCAGUUUGAUUUUAUGUAAGGGUUUGUAUGUAAUUGAUAAAUAAAACUUACCUUAGCUGUGUUUUACUUAACUUUUGGUUUUAGUUUUGGUAGUAGUUUUCUGAUAUCCAACCAAGAUUUUUAAUUUUCCUUCUUUCUCUCUAUAUUUGAAGAAUAUGAUGUUUGUGAAAUUUAAUAAACUACUUUGAUGACUUAA